rnacentral:ncRNA from 1 species
UAACCGCUAACGAUAAUCGUGAAUGUUA